GAUGAACGCUGGCGGCGUGCCUAAUACAUGCAAGUCGAGCGAACAGAUAAGGAGCUUGCUCCUUUGACGUUAGCGGCGGACGGGUGAGUAACACGUGGAUAACCUACCUAUAAGACUGGGAUAACUUCGGGAAACCGGAGCUAAUACCGGAUAACAUAUUGAACCGCAUGGUUCAAUAGUGAAAGGCGGCUUUGCUGUCACUUAUAGAUGGAUCCGCGCCGUAUUAGCUAGUUGGUAAGGUAACGGCUUACCAAGGCAACGAUACGUAGCCUACCUGAGAGGGUGAUCGGCCACACUGGAACUGAGACACGGUCCAGACUCCUACGGGAGGCAGCAGUAGGGAAUCUUCCGCAAUGGGCGAAAGCCUGACGGAGCAACGCCGCGUGAGUGAUGAAGGUCUUCGGAUCGUAAAACUCUGUUAUCAGGGAAGAACAAAUGUGUAAGUAACUGUGCACAUCUUGACGGUACCUGAUCAGAAAGCCACGGCUAACUACGUG
rnacentral:rRNA from 1 species